GAUGAACGCUGGCGGCGUGCUUAACACAUGCAAGUCGAACGGACAGGCGCUGCUUGCAGGGUUCUCGAGUGGCGAACGGGUGAGUAACUCGCGGGUGAUCAGCCCUGCUCUUCGGGAUAAGCAUGUGCAACUGGGUCUAAUACCGGCCAGGUGCUAUUUUUAGUGUGAUGGUUGGAAAGUUUUAUCGGUUUUGGAUGAGCUGGCGGGCUAACAGCUUGUUGGUGCGGUGAUGGCCUACCGAGGCGGCGGCGGGAAGCCGGCCUGUGUGGGUGGACGGCGACAUUGGGACUGAGGGGCGGCCCCGGCAGCUAAGGGAGGCAGCAGGGGGGAAGCUUGCACAAUGAGCGCAGGGCUGAUGCAGAGGGUCCUCGUGUGGGAUGACGCCCUUCUGGUUGUAGACUCCAUGCGCUAGGGACGGAGCUUUUUGUGACGGUACCUAGUUAAGAAGCACCGGCUAACUACGUG
rnacentral:rRNA from 1 species